UUAACUGAAACCAAAAAGAGGUAUAUUACUGUUAAUAAUAAAAUUGAAUUAAAAAAUCCAGUUAAG
rnacentral:tRNA from 1 species